rnacentral:rRNA from 1 species
UCUUGCAAACUAAAGAUGGCGACCGGCGCACGGGUGAGUAACACGUAUCCAACCUGCCGAUAACUCGGGGAUAGCCUUUCGAAAGAAAGAUUAAUAUCCGAUAGUAUAUUAAAACCGCAUGGUUUUACUAUUAAAGAAUUUCGGUUAUCGAUGGGGAUGCGUUCCAUUAGUUUGUUGGCGGGUAACGGCCCACCAAGGCUACGAUGGAUAGGGGUUCUGAGAGGAAGGUCCCCCACAUUGGAACUGAGACACGGUCCAA